GCCAGUGGUGGCCAGGAGGGAUGGCCUGAGGUUGCAGGACCCAGCCCUUUGGUCCUCCUGCCCAGACACCCCACUAACAGCUACUGUCUCAGCUUUGGUUGAGUUAAAGUCAAGGAAAUUGGGGGGGGGGUGGGCUGGGGGUAGGGCGAUUGUUCCAUGGAUUGAUUUUUUAGCAAUGUGAUUUUUAAGCAUGUGAUUUUUCUUUUUUAAAUUCUUAAUUUCUUUUACAAAUAGAAAUACGUCCCUUUUCAAUUUUUACUUUUUAUUUCAUGUCACUGUCUUUUUUUUUUUUUUUUUUUAAACUACACGAGCAGUGCAUGCAGCUAUCUGUGUGCGCUGAUAUUGUUUAAAGGUAAUACUUAUUUUCGGAAGGCAAGGCACAUCAUGUGGUAGAAAAUUUCGUGCAAAUUAGGAAACAUGGAAUUUUUUUAAGGUUUUUUUUUUUUGUAUCUUUUUUUUCUUUUAAAGAGGAGGGGGCGGGGGG
rnacentral:lncRNA from 1 species